rnacentral:rRNA from 1 species
UACAGAGGGGGCAAGCGUUGUUCGGAAUUACUGGGCGUAAAGGGCGCGUAGGCGGCCUGUUAAGUCGAACGUGAAAUCCCCGGGCUCAACCCGGGAACUGCGUCCGAUACUGGCAGGCUUGAAUCCGGGAGAGGGAUGCGGAAUUCCCGGUGUAGCGGUGAAAUGCGUAGAGAUCGGGAGGAACACCAGUGGCGAAGGCGGCACCCUGGACCAGCACUGACACUGAGGCACGAAAGCGUGGGGAGCAAACAGG